GAUGAACGCUGGCGGCGUGCCUAAUACAUGCAAGUCGAGCGAACAGACGAGGAGCUUGCUCCUCUGACGUUAGCGGCGGACGGGUGAGUAACACGUGGAUAACCUACCUAUAAGACUGGGAUAACUUCGGGAAACCGGAGCUAAUACCGGAUACUAUAUUGAACCGCAUGGUUCAAUAGUGAAAGACGGUUUUGCUGUCACUUAUAGAUGGAUCCGCGCCGCAUUAGCUAGUUGGUAAGGUAACGGCUUACCGAGGCAACGAUGCGUAGCCGACCUGAGAGGGUGAUCGGCCACACUGGAGCUAAGACACGGUCCAGACUCCUACGGGAGGCAGCAGUAGGGAAUCUUCCGCAAUGGGCGAAAGCCUGACGGAGCAACGCCGCGUGAGUGAUGAAGGUCUUCGGAUCGUAAAACUCUGUUAUUAGGGAAGAACAAAUGUGUAAGUAACUAUGCACGUCUUGACGGUACCUAAUCAGAAAGCCACGGCUAACUACGUG
rnacentral:rRNA from 1 species